GCAAACUUGGUCAUUUAGAGGAAGUAAAAGUCGUAACAAGGUUUCCGUAGGUGAACCUGCGGAAGGAUCAUUAAUGAAUGAAGUAUUGAGGAUGUUGCUGGCCCUUGUCCUUUGAGAUGGGGCAGGUGCGCUCCUCAGAUACCCCCAUUUAUGAAACCUGUGUGCACUCUGUGUAGGUUUGCCUUUGUGUUCAAACCUAUGUUUUUUUCAUUCAUUGGCUCUAUUUGGAUGUUGAAUGUUUUCUUUGAUAAAAUAAAUCACAACUUUCAACAAUGGAUCUCUUGGCUCUCGCAUCGAUGAAGAACGCAGC
rnacentral:misc_RNA from 1 species